rnacentral:misc_RNA from 1 species
GAUGAAGAACGUAGCAAAAUGCGAUAAGUAAUGUGAAUUGCAGAAUUCAGUGAAUCAUCGAAUCUUUGAACGCACAUUGCGCCCGCCAGUGUUCUGGCGGGCAUGCCUGUUCGAGCGUCAUUUCAACCCUCAAGCACAGCUUGGUGUUGGGACUCGCGUUAAUUCGCGUUCCCCAAAUUGAUUGGCGGUCACGUCGAGCUUCCAUAGCGUAGUAGUAAAACCCUCGUUACUGGUAAUCGUCGCGGCCACGCCGUUAAACCCCAACUUCUGAAUGUUGACCUCGGAUCAGGUAGGAAUACCCGCUGAACUUAAGCAUAUCAAUAAGCGGAGGA